rnacentral:rRNA from 1 species
AGAGCGAACGCUGGCGGCAGGCUUAACACAUGCAAGUCGAGCGCCCCGCAAGGGGAGCGGCAGACGGGUGAGUAACGCGUGGGAACGUACCUUUGGUUCGGAACAACACAGGGAAACUUGUGCUAAUACCGGAUAAGCCCUUACGGGGAAAGAUUUAUCGCCGAAAGAUCGGCCCGCGUCUGAUUAGCUAGUUGGUGAGGUAACGGCUCACCAAGGCGACGAUCAGUAGCUGGUCUGAGAGGAUGAUCAGCCACAUUGGGACUGAGACACGGCCCAAACUCCUACGGGAGGCAGCAGUGGGGAAUAUUGGACAAUGGGCGCAAGCCUGAUCCAGCCAUGCCGCGUGAGUGAUGAAGGCCCUAGGGUUGUAAAGCUCUUUUAACGGGGAAGAUAAUGACGGUACCCGUAGAAUAAGCCCCGGCUAACUUCGCGCCAGCAGCCGC